rnacentral:lncRNA from 1 species
AUCAACAUAUACUUUAGUUUCAUUUAAAUAAUUAUAAAAAUAUAUAAACUUAUCUGAACUAUAGAGCAUUUGGAUUUGAGUAUUCAAUCUAUCAAAAUUUUAAUUUUGCUAUCUAAACUUUCAAUUUGUUUGAUUUGAGCCGGUUAACGGCACUUUCACUUCAAACUUAGAAUGCGUCAUUUAUCUUUACAUAUUUAAUUAGUAUAUUUUAUCUUU